GACAGAGGUGCCGAGCGUUAGGCGGAAUCACUGGGCUUAAAGCGUGUGUAGGCGGGUCGUUAAGUACCUUGUGAAAUCCCCGGGCUUAACCUGGGAAUGGCAUUUGGGACUGCAAGGCUGGAGUGCGGCAGAGGAGACUGGAAUUCCUGGUGUAGCAGUGAAAUGCGUAGAUAUCAGGAGGAACACCGAUGGCGAAGGCAGGUCUCUGGGCUGACACUGACGCUCAUGCACGAAAGCGUGGGGAGCAAACAGG
rnacentral:rRNA from 1 species